UUUAGCUAGUCGCUGGCCAACGAGCAUAUAUAAAAGUAGCAAACAGCUGUGUGUUCUUGCUCAGUGUUAUUUUUACCAUAACUAUAUUGAGAGUAAUACAAAUAGUUGUAUAUAAAUAAAUAUAUUCGCACAAUCCUUUUAUAAAUUCAUUAAGGAACAACAAUUACAAUGGCUAGCACAGUGCCAACCGUUAAGCUAAACAGUGGCCACAAUAUUCCCCUACUUGGUCUUGGAACCUGGAAUAGUCCUCCUGGCCAAGUGGUGGAGGCUGUUAAAACUGCCAUUGAUGUUGGAUAUAGGCACAUUGAUUGCGCCUUUGUCUAUCAAAAUGAAGCUGAAGUCGGGGCUGCAAUCGAGGCCAAGAUCAAGGAAAGUGCAGUUAAGCGCGAGGAUCUGUUUAUUACAAGCAAGUUGUGGAACACUUUUCAUCGUCCAGAGACGGUGAAAGCUGCUUGUGAGCAUACCUUGGAACUGUUGAAGCUGAAAUAUCUGGAUCUAUACUUGAUCCACUGGCCCAUGGGCUAUAAGGAGGGUUGUGAACUGUUUCCAGUUGAUGAAAAUGGAAAAACCCUGUUCUCGCCGGACGAUUACGUAGAUACGUGGAAGGCUAUGGAGCAGCUAGUGGAGGAGGGUCUAGUCAAGUCAAUUGGCGUUUCCAAUUUCAACAAACAUCAAAUCGAACGCGUUUUGGCUGUUGCCAAAAUUCCACCAGCUACCAAUCAGAUCGAAUGUCAUCCGUAUUUGACACAGAAGAAACUUUCUGAAUUUUGCAAACAGAAUAACAUUGUCAUUACGGCGUACAGCCCAUUGGGCAGCCCGAAUCGCCCGUGGGCCAAGGAAGGUGAUCCUGUUAUAUUAGAGGAGAAAAAGAUUAAAGAAAUUGCCGCUGCCAAAAACAAGACGCCCGGACAAAUUUUGAUACGUUAUCAGAUUCAGAGGAAUAACAUUGUCAUACCAAAGUCGGUGACUAAGGAGCGUAUCGAGUCGAACUUCAAAGUCUUCGAUUUCACUCUAACUCCCGAGGAGAUCGAAAUAAUUGAAAGUUUCGAAUGCAAUGGACGGCUGGUACCGCUGAUUAAUGAAGCUGGCGAUCAUAUGCAUUAUCCAUUUCGCGAUGAAUAUUAAAUCAAAAUGCAAAGAACUUUGUCUACAUUUAGAAACAAGAGACAUCUGAAAUAUGAAUAAUCAAAUAACCAAAUAGUUAAAUAAAUAUUUCUGGCUAAAGCUAACAACUGGGCAAUUCGAGAGGCACAUACUCAACAUGGUCAUCCACACCAUCCAUUUGAGAAGGAUGAAUUCUAAAAGGGAUUGAGAUGUUAGCUGUCCGACUUCUACAGCUCUUAAGCCUUUCUAUAAUUAUACAUAAAAUAAAAAAUUAAUAAAUAUGAAUAUGGCAUAAU